CCAUGACCAUCAGGACAGGAAGAGCAAAGGGGGACCAUCAGAGUGUGGGACCUUCUGUAUAUAAGAGGGAAAGCCAAGCGGGUUAUGAUUGAAGGGAGGAAAGAAAAUUUUGUUGUUUUGUCUGGUGUAUCCCAAAAGCAAACCCCAGGAUUUUAGAAAAAGAAAGCAAAAAGUGUAUGUAGAGAAUGGGCUUUGCUGAGGGAUACCGGAAGACCAAUGUGGUAAAUAAAAGUACUUGAAAAAGAAAAGAAAAGAAAAAUGAAAGAAAAGGGCAAUAUCUAAAACAGGAUCACAUGGGAUUUUUAGAAAUUCUUUCUUUCUGCGUCUCUUUCUCUGUCUUCUAUGCAACCAAGUGGUUUGUUCCUUAAGAUUGGUGCCUUCCCCAAUUUAACUGACAGAUUUAUUGUGGGAAUGAUCAAUGUGUGUGUAAACCUCAGAGUUUUGUUUUCUUCUCUGUGUCCUUGUUUGUGUAUGUGUGUGUGUGUGUGUGCGCGCGCGCAUGCAUGUGUCUAGGUCUGUGUGUCCUCGAAGUAACUGUUGCAACUGUUAAGUAUCUCUGAUCCCUUCAGACAUGAAUUUUACAUUGUUUUAAUUUUUUUAAAAAAAGUUGGAAGCACUGAGGGGAAAAGGAAAUGUCUUUGCCCGGUUUGGUCAGGCCAACUAGACUGGAUGAGAAUAGAGUUCAAUUUUCUUUCCACUCUGUGCUUUUAAGAAAAAUCCAAGGUUAUUAACGAAUGUUCCAAGUUCAUUUACAAGAAAAGUUUCAUCCUUGUGUUUACUGUAUGUUUAAAUGAUUUUACCUGUUCAUCCUUUUUGUGAAGCUUGUGAAUCUAGUUUUUUUCCUUUCUCAUCUGUUGUGUCUCCAUUUUGUUGAAACUGAUUUAUCUCUUUAGUAACUGCCAUACUGAUGUAUUAUUU